rnacentral:rRNA from 2 species
AGAGUUUGAUCAUGGCUCAGAUUGAACGCUGGCGGCAGGCCUAACACAUGCAAGUCGAACGGUAACAGGAAGUAGCUUGCUGCUUUGCUGACGAGUGGCGGACGGGUGAGUAAUGUCUGGGAAACUGCCUGAUGGAGGGGGAUAACUACUGGAAACGGUAGCUAAUACCGCAUAAUGUCGCAAGACCAAAGAGGGGGACCUUCGGGCCUCUUGCCAUCGGAUGUGCCCAGAUGGGAUUAGCUAGUAGGUGGGGUAAAGGCUCACCUAGGCGACGAUCCCUAGCUGGUCUGAGAGGAUGACCAGCCACACUGGAACUGAGACACGGUCCAGACUCCUACGGGAGGCAGCAGUGGGGAAUAUUGCACAAUGGGCGCAAGCCUGAUGCAGCCAUGCCGCGUGUAUGAAGAAGGCCUUCGGGUUGUAAAGUACUUUCAGCGGGGAGGAAGGGAGUAAAGUUAAUACCUUUGCUCAUUGACGUUACCCGCAGAAGAAGCACCGGCUAACUCCGUGCCAGCAGCCGCGGUAAUACGGAGGGUGCAAGCGUUAAUCGGAAUUACUGGGCGUAAAGCGCACGCAGGCGGUUUGUUAAGUCAGAUGUGAAAUCCCCGGGCUCAACCUGGGAACUGCAUCUGAUACUGGCAAGCUUGAGUCUCGUAGAGGGGGGUAGAAUUCCAGGUGUAGCGGUGAAAUGCGUAGAGAUCUGGAGGAAUACCGGUGGCGAAGGCGGCCCCCUGGACGAAGACUGACGCUCAGGUGCGAAAGCGUGGGGAGCAAACAGGAUUAGAUACCCUGGUAGUCCACGCCGUAAACGAUGUCGACUUGGAGGUUGUGCCCUUGAGGCGUGGCUUCCGGAGCUAACGCGUUAAGUCGACCGCCUGGGGAGUACGGCCGCAAGGUUAAAACUCAAAUGAAUUGACGGGGGCCCGCACAAGCGGUGGAGCAUGUGGUUUAAUUCGAUGCAACGCGAAGAACCUUACCUGGUCUUGACAUCCACGGAAGUUUUCAGAGAUGAGAAUGUGCCUUCGGGAACCGUGAGACAGGUGCUGCAUGGCUGUCGUCAGCUCGUGUUGUGAAAUGUUGGGUUAAGUCCCGCAACGAGCGCAACCCUUAUCCUUUGUUGCCAGCGGUCCGGCCGGGAACUCAAAGGAGACUGCCAGUGAUAAACUGGAGGAAGGUGGGGAUGACGUCAAGUCAUCAUGGCCCUUACGACCAGGGCUACACACGUGCUACAAUGGCGCAUACAAAGAGAAGCGAUCUCGCGAGAGCAAGCGGACCUCAUAAAGUGCGUCGUAGUCCGGAUUGGAGUCUGCAACUCGACUCCAUGAAGUCGGAAUCGCUAGUAAUCGUGGAUCAGAAUGCCACGGUGAAUACGUUCCCGGGCCUUGUACACACCGCCCGUCACACCAUGGGAGUGGGUUGCAAAAGAAGUAGGUAGCUUAACCUUCGGGAGGGCGCUUACCACUUUGUGAUUCAUGACUGGGGUGAAGUCGUAACAAGGUAACCGUAGGGGAACCUGCGGUUGGAUCACCU